rnacentral:lncRNA from 1 species
UCCUGAUAUAGCGUAUGCUGUAAGCAAGUUAAGUCGCUAUACAAGUAAUCCAGGUCAUGAUCAUUAGAAAGCUAUCUUGAGAAAUUUGGGAUACUUAAAGCAUACUAAAAAUUAUGGAUUACACUAUACUCAAUAUCCUGUUGUACUUGAAGAUUAUAGUGAUGCCAAUUGGAUAUUGAGCACUAAAGACUCCAAAUCCACAAGUUACAUUUUUACCCUUUGAGGUGGUGCCGUGUCUUGGAAAUCUUCCAAACAAACAUGUAUAGCACGAUCCACAAUGAAAUCUGAAUUUAUAGCUUUAGACAAGGCUGGUGAAGAAGUAGAAUGAUUUUAAUUUUUUGGGAAGAUAUUCGCGUUUGGUUUAAAUCAGUGCCUGCAAUAUAGUCAAACAACUAUUGAAAGGACACGAAAUAUUAUGUAUAAUGGCAGGUCUCGACAUAUACGACCGAGACAUAAUACAAUCAGACAACUAUUCUCUAGUGAUAUCAUCACAAUUGACUUUGCGAGGUCAAAAGAUAAUGAGAUUAAAGCAUAUAAUAUGAAGUAGGUUGAAAAUUCAUAAAAAUGAAUGGGAUUAAAGCCUAUACUAUGAAGUUAUCUAGAGAGACAACCCAACCUAGUUAACUAGAGAUCCCAAGAUCUAGGUUUAACGGGAAAAUCGAUCUCUAAAUAACACAACGAGGAAUGCAUUAAAUUUUUUUACCCAUUCUACGAAUGAUGAGGUAGUGUCAUUAUGCUUUUAGGGCAAUCUUUAUGCUUUUAAUGAUUUCUGUUAGUGAUAUUUAUUAAUAAAAAGAACAUAGAUGAUGUUCUGUACAAGAACCACCUAUGUGAGUGUGAAGGGGCCACUUCUGUGAGAAUUUUAAGGCAAAAUUCUCUAAAACACUCAUGAGACCAGGCGGUGUUGAAGGCCAAAAUGAACACAACCAUGAAAACAAACUUUGUUAUAAUGAGAAGCUGUGUGAUAUCUAUUGUCUUAGUUUACUUUAGAACGGUUGACAGUUCAAGGCAUCAUGUCCACUGAUUAACCAAGUAAACUCGAUUGAUUUUCACUAGUGAAAGUUCAAAGUUUAUACUACUUAUCCUCAUGUAGGUUCUCCAUUGGAAAAUACCGAAUGUUUUUUUUUUCUAUUUGUCAAUUUAUCAUUUAUUGAUGGGAUUGUUGGAAUAAAUGACUAUUAUUUAUGAUUUUUCAUGAAUGGAUGCAUCAUGAGUGAAAAAUGUUAAUAACUAAAGAAUAUGACUCUUCGAAUGGUCACAAAAAGUCUAUAAGUAAGUUCUUUUAGUUGAGAGAAAAAACACAUCAAUAAUCAUUCUGUCUUCUAUAAACAAAUUUCUCUCCAUAUCCACAAUCUUGACGUUUGGUAGAUUCACAAGGUUUAGUUAGUUGAUCUUCUAUGCGAGGUUCUCUAUUUAGGAGAAAGAUGAUAUGUUCUAUCCUGAGAGGCAAUUAUUCUUUAUACUCAAACACUGGGAGUAAAUUUGUCUUAAGUAGACAACGUGACAAUUAUUCUUUAUACUCAAACACUGGGAUGAGUAAAUUUGUCUUAAGUAGACAACGUGAAUUCGUUGGACUCAUAUCUAUAUUUAUGUAUGAGUUUUUGUUUAUUUUGAUAAUAUUCUUCAUAAUAUUUUGAUAAUAAGAAGCUCGUUUUCAAUGUCGUGGACUGUGGAUGUGCCAACGGUUUGUGUAACCCAUUUGGAGAUUUGCUGUUCAUGUCUUGGGUGGACGUGGGUUUGGGUUUUAAAGUGCUUUGAUGGGGGAAUGAGUGGGUUAGUAGAUUUGGAGUUAGGGCGAUUUACUUGGAGGAAAAUGAAAAGUGAUGGAAAAGAGAGAAUAGAGAAGGAUUAUGCGGGAAAGUGAGAAAGGAUUAGAGAGGGUGUUAGGGGAGUGAGAAGGAUUAAGAAACUCCCCUGAAUUUUAAACAAGGAACCCACUCCAUUCUUGCUGGGCUCAAACAGCCCCAAAAUGUUCUAAAAUAAACGGACCCUAUUUUCCAUUUGAUUUGAAAGGGGGCGAAACAAUAACGUGGGGAACUCCCCUAGCUACCACGUCAACACAUUUCUCCGCCCUUCUUCCUAUUUCCCCUUCCUGUUUGACCGUUACCAUCGCCAUCGCCACCGGCCAAUGCUCGUUCCUACUGCCUUCAACGCCCUCAAAUCCUCAAGGUCAAUAUCUUGGUCGCCGGUAUUCUCUCUCUCUCUUUCCAUAGAAAUGGUGUUUCUCUGAGAACAAAAGAACUGCUGAAAACAAUUGAAUGGAAGGUAGUUUUCAUACUCACUGUGUGUGAUCAUUCUGGGUUGCUACUUUGCUUCUUUUUGUUGUGUAGACGGGCAGGCUUCAGCAAACCUUGGCGGGAUGUCUGGAGCUGAGUGGGAUAUCUCUGCAUUCUGGGAAAGUUGCGAAAGUGA